rnacentral:rRNA from 1 species
GAUGAACGCUGUCUACAGGCUUAACACAUGCAAGUCGAGGGGAAACGACGGGGAAGCUUGCUUCCCCGGGCGUCGACCGGCGCACGGGUGAGUAACGCGUAUCCAACCUGCCUCUGACUGAGGGAUAACCCGUCGAAAGUCGGCCUAAUACCCCAUGGCAUCGUCUGCGGGCAUCCAACGACGAUUAAAGAUUUCAUCGGUCAGGGAUGGGGAUGCGUCUGAUUAGCUUGUUGGCGGGGUAACGGCCCACCAAGGCUACGAUCAGUAGGGGUUCUGAGAGGAAGGUCCCCCACAUUGGAACUGAGACACGGUCCAAACUCCUACGGGAGGCAGCAGUGAGGAAUAUUGGUCAAUGGGCGGGAGCCUGAACCAGCCAAGUAGCGUGCAGGAUGACGGCCCUAUGGGUUGUAAACUGCUUUUAUGCGGGGAUAAAGUGAGGGACGUGUCCUUCAUUGCAGGUACCGCAUGAAUAAGGACCGGCUAAUUCCGUG